rnacentral:rRNA from 1 species
UACGGGAGGACAGCAGUGGGGAAUAUUGCACAAUGGGCGCAAGCCUGAUGCAGCCAUGCCGCGUGUAUGAAGAAGGCCUUCGGGUUGUAAAGUACUUUCAGUCGUGAGGAAGGUGUUAAGGUUAAUAACCUUAGCAAUUGACGUUAGCGACAGAAGAAGCACCGGCUAACUCCGUGCCAGCAGCCGCGGUAAUACGGAGGGUGCGAGCGUUAAUCGGAAUUACUGGGCGUAAAGGGCACGCAGGCGGUUAAUUAAGUUGGAUGUGAAAUCCCCGGGCUUAACCUGGGAAUGGCAUUCAAGACUGGUUAGCUAGAGUCUUGUAGAGGGGGUAGAAUUCCAUGUGUAGCGGUGAAAUGCGUAGAGAUGUGGAGGAAUACCGGUGGCGAAGGCGGCCCCUGGACAAAAGACUGACGCUCAUGUGCGAAAAGCGU